CUCCAUAAGGUGGGUGUUGCAGAAGGAGGAAAGGAUGCUUGCAAUGAAAAGGGUGAUUGAUCUCCAAGGGUGCCUCAGCACAUUUCUUAUGGAGGUGAAACUCACACUCCGCACAGCUAAAACUUGGAGCUGACAGUGACAGCUUCUUUUUACACCUUGAGCAGAAAGCUCUUUCACUUUGAUUGCUCUGCCCUUCAUUCAACACCAGUGAAUGCUGAUGCCCAAAAUUUCCUGACUCACUCAUCUCUCUUCCCCAAUCGCACCUCUACCACGAUAGGUUUCAAAAGGAAAGGGGAACUUUGGCUAUGGCAAAGAAAGAUGUAAUAAGGAGAAUGCUUAUAAAAUGAAUACAGCGUAGUCUUUCUAAUACUAAUGCCUUAUUCCUAGCGUGCCGACACAUUCAAAAUGAAAAAAGAAGAAAGAAUCCCAUCCACAAAGGUAGAGACCUAACCAAACCAAGAAACAAGGCAGAUGCUUUGAUGAUAGGCAUAGCAAAAUAUAACAACAUAUAAAAGUAGAGUAGAAAGCGAGUAUGAGGAUUGCAUCCUCUAUUCAAGUUUGAAACUUUUACUUUGUAAGUUUAAAGUUAGAGUAGAGCAUCCCUUUCCCUUAGGAUACAAUGCAAGCCACAGAGGUCAAUGUUAUAAUUCUAACAAUUCUAGGCUCUGGCAGAAAUGAAGUUGUCUAAAUUUAAAAUCCUUCUAAUAUAUCUAAUGAAACAUGUAUGUAGAACAAAAUAUAAAUAAGACCUUCGAUUAUUAAUUGUUACAAUAUUUAUGAACCUUGAUGUGUAUAAUUUUAUUUUAUAUGAACUAAAAAAUUUGGUGUUAGGAACAACAUAAUAUAAUGAAUACUUUCAUUGUAACAAAAAUUAAAAAAGAAACAUAAUUAAUUCAAAUUCAAAAAAUCAAGACAUAAAAUAAAGCACUAUUAUAUAGUCAGGAGCAAGGGAAGGAUUCUUAUAUAUUUUGUGUCGUCCUAAUUAAGGAAGUUGAAGGAGGAAGCUGGUGGGGGAAUUCGUUGCCAUCUUGAAGAAGCUUAUAUCAUAGGUUUCAUGAAAAGUUAUCUGCCACCAAAGUUGCAAACCGCUGCUAGCCUUGGUUGGUUACUUGUUUCUUUAGGCUCAUUACUUUUUCUUUUCCCAAAAUUGUUGCUUUUGUGUCGUGUUGGUCAGUUGAACCAUUUGGCUAUUGCAGUUUCCAGUGACAAAAUCACAAUAUUGCUACAUGUUGGGCUAUGGUUAUAUAGUAACAGAGUUAAGAGGACAAGCAUGAGCAAUUGAAUAUAGGUAUUAUUUUAUGACAAAAAAAAUUUAGUAGAGGGACCAAUGAUACCAAUAAUAAUCCAUUUAAAUCAGCGAAACUUUGUACCAAAGAAAAGGAUCAAAGUUCCACGUCAUACAUGUGAGAGGUCUUCUUUUUGGAACAUAUUACUCCUUUCUUCCAAAGUUGGCAUCACCCCCUCAAUUAACUCUCAACAAUGAAAGUAAUACAUUAAACAUGCCAACUGUCUAAUCUUGCUCUACACCGUUGUACAACAUACUUUUUGGAUUUCCAUUUUCAAUUUGUGCAAUAAAAUAUUUUUUUUUUUUAAAAAGGCAGUAUGUUACAUUUGUGACAGAGGGCUCCUAGCUUAAGCAGGUACCAGACUAGGAAGAACAUGGAAAACUCAGGUAACUUACAAAGGAUAAACAACUCCACUUCAAAUAAGCAUCACACCAGUCAAAAUUUUUAACAAUCACAUUUUAGAUUGGCUGGAAUACAAUCUUUUCUUUUUCUUCCUUCAAGAGAUGCAAAUGGUACUCCUGCACACAUUUUCCCACAAAUGAAACCCAUAUAAACAUCAACUGUAACCGGAAAUUAUUAUAGAAUAUAAAGGUCAGUCAUAUAUAAGAAUCAUCAAAAAAUUAUGGGAAUAUGACCAUUGGUUGCAAAAUGUCCUUUUGCGAGUCAAUCAAGAAAAUUGUUUCCUACAGGCUGGACUCUGACAAAAAUAUAGCUAUUUCAAGAGUCAAAUUUUACUCAAAAUUCAUGAACAUACCUUGUUCCUUAGUAUAGAGGAGCAUCUUUUAUCCACUCAAAAGUCAUGGUUGCUUUAGGCUUUUGCAGUUCUAACCAUCACUGACCAAGCCUCUACAACAGAUGCAGGAUAGAUGAGGACAGAUUUGGAAGUGGUUCCUGUUUCUGAGGCAUCUGUUGUAGUUCAAGCUAAUGCAUAUAGACAUUGAGAGCAGCUAAAUAUUCAAAAUUUCUUAAAAGCUGUUAUUCCAGUCAAAUCAUGGAUAUUUGUGUACCAAAGAAGGAAUGUACAAUCCAGUAGAACAAUCAGAUAAUAUCCCAAAAACUCCCUACUAGGUGUGCAGAACCCAAUGUAGCUACAAGGGUGUAAAUUUUAUGUUUAUUAGAUACACAUGAUCUCUGUUGACGGGGUGCACUGUGAUUACUGACAAUCUCAUCCACCAAAUGAAUAGGAAAGUUGACAACCUGCUUGCAGCAUAUGCCUUCUCAACACCAGAAUCUUAACAUUUUUUUCCAAAGAAAUUCAGGAAGGGCAAUUAAUUGAGUCAUCAGAAUCAUAUUCGGAAAAUAAAUCACAAUCUGACUCCACUUCAGAACCAGGAACAAUCUUUGAUGGGUCCUCAUGACCAACAUUGACAGUUUUCUUGUAUAAGCCCCUGCUUCUAUCCAGAAAUCCUUUUCUCAUCAUGCUUGCAAAUCUUUUUCUUAUAUCAACAAGGGGAUGUCUCUGAAUAAGCCGUUGACAAUCAUAGGCUUCCCUAAGAACAACAGUUUGUGUAUCACACAUCCUGGAAAUAUAAAAGAUGCCAGGAUGGCGCUCAAACACCUUGGUAAACUUCUGAGGCAGUGACAAAGGUUUGCGUAGAUUACUCACAUUUCGACGUUCAGUUUUCUUCUGUAUGGUAAGGUGAAGAAGUUCAUGAAACACGCCCACGAUUCUCUUCUCUGAGACAUCAGUACGUGGAUCCAAGUGAGAGGCAUCAGCAUAAGGUGAACUAUAAGGUAGUUUCUGCCAUUCUUUUAACCAUUCCAUGCAUUUCCUCUUCAAUCCAAAACCCCUUGUAAAUCCUAUUGGAAAGGCUAAACAGUUAUUAUUCAAAUCAUCUUCCAUUUGCAGAAAAGCAUUCUUCUCUAAUUGGGAGACAGCAAGCGUAUCAUCCCAUGAUAAAAGUUUCAAACCAAUGCGAUCAUCAGCAAGGUGAACCAAAGAAAAUAAAUCCGGGUAAUGUGGAAUCAAGGUAUUGCUGUAAUUAUAAGGCAAUCCCAAAUCCCAAUUCAGCUGGUCAAUAGUUUGUAAAGGAAGGGUCCUAUCCUUGGUAAGCAUCAGCAGUUUGCGGAGCCUGUCAAGCAAAUUAAUCACACUCUCCUGGAUAACACCAACUUCUUCAUGGUAAAGAUUUAAGGCUUCAGCGGUCAACUCAAAGCAAGGAACACGAGUGCCACCGCUGUCAAACACAUAAAACUCAUGAAAAACAGUAGGGUAUCUCCUGAUAAAUGUGGAUAGCUUAAGAUCAUGGGGCAGACCGAGUUGACCACGAUGCCGGGACAGAUGGUAAAUGGGGAGACAGUAAUUGGAAGCAGAGGAAAGGAUGGAAACAAUAUUGCAGGCUGCUCUCAAAUCUCUUUCACCAGCAAUAACGGCAUCUAAGGCUUUAUCUUUAACCCAUUUCAACUUAACAUUAACUAGACUGAAAUUCUGCUGGUAAUUAAAUCCCCUCCUCAACCCACAUGAAAAUCUAGAAACUUUAGCAUUUCCACACAAAAACCAAUAACCCAUGUCCUUAUUUUAAUAGAAAAAUGAUUAGAAAUCAAUAACAAGAUGCUCCCAAGUUCACCAAUAAAGCAGCCUUAGCAACAUCUACAGAGACAGACAAAUAUCCAGAUUAAGAUUUUUGGUAAUUCUGCAUAUUCUGCUUUGUAUAGUAAAUAAACAAGAGAAAAAGACCAAAAAGAAGAAUAGUUCAUUGCUGUAAGACAAUUUAUCAAACACGUAACGUGAAAGAAUGCCGCGAUAUGAAAAAUGCAUACCACAGUGAGGCUGAGCUGAAUUUCGAACUACGAAACGAAUGGCCCGGUCUUAUUUUAUAGCAAAUCUCUUCCUCGCUUUUCUGUUUUUUUCCCUUUGUAUUAAGAGAGGGAAUGGCAUUUGGAGGUCCAGGUGGAGGGGAUCAACUCCCUCAAACUUUCUUAUAAUUUUCCAUUUUUAGAUUUUUUAGAUAUUUAAUAUGGUUUUAAUUUUACGCUACAAGUCUUUAAUCAACUCUAUAUUCCUUAGUUAAUUGAUUGGUUUUCCACUUUUCUUUUUGCAAAUAUAAUACCAGUAAAUAGAUUUAAUUUGAUUUUAACCCAUUUAAUUGAAUUUUUUUAACUUUUAAAAUUUUUUAAAAAUUAUUUUAGUAAUUUAUUUUGGAAAUCUAUUGACAUCAUAUUUUUUAUGUUAAUAUAACUCUAUUUUGAGAAAAAAAAAAUUAAACAUUUGCUUUGACAUUCAAAAUAAAAGGAAUACGAAACAUUUCAAUAUUAAAAUAAAAUGAAUUAGUGAAUAAGUAACAUAAGCAAUUACACAGUAAAAUAGAAUUUAUUCCUACCAAAUAGAAAAAGCAUGAAUAAGGUUAAAACGGCAAAUUGACGUGAAUAAGAUUAUAAUAUAUAAUUUGUAUAUGAUGGAUUGAGAGUUCAAAUUUAAUUACCUUUUAGUAUUCAAUUAAUAAAUGUCCUAUAUUAUAAUUAGAUAAGACUUACAGCCUUGUCUAAUAUUAAUUUUUGAAUUUUAAAGUAGGAGGGGUUAUUAUAUAUUUUUUUUAUUUUUAUUACAAAAUUUAAGUUUUAAGAGACUUAUUUUAAUUUUUUGGUGAUAGAAAUUAAAUAAUUAUAUAAUUAUAUAAGGCUUAUAGCUUUAUAGGACAUUAAGACUAAAUUUUUAAUUUUUAAGCUUUAAAGGGGGAGCGGUUAUUAUAUAUAUAAAUUUAUGUUACAAAUUUUACGUUAGAGGGAUUUAUUUUAAUUUUUUUGGUAUCAAAAAUUAGAUAAUUAGAUGAGGCUUCUAUAGCCUUAUGGUUAUAGCACAUUAGAACUUAUUUUAAAUUUUUAAGCUUUGAAGGAGGAGGGGUUGUUAUAUAUUUAUAUUUAUAUUACAAUUUUAAGCUUUAAGGGACUUAUUUUAAAUUUUAAUCUUAUUUUAAUCUCCUUAUGAUGGAAAUUAUAUUAAUCAAAUCAUUAGGAUAAUUUUUGCAAUCAAAUAAAACCCUAAAUUGAUUAAUAAGAAAAAACUCUUUCACACUUUUGAACAUAUUUUAAUAAAUAAGUAAGAUGAAAUUGAUGUUCACAUAUUUUGUAAAAUAAAAAAAAAAUUGAUAUAGUUUUGCAUUAUGUUUAAUUUUCUACUAGUGUUUUAUAUGAUAAAUUACAUCAAUGAUAUUAUUGUUUAAAUCAAAACUUAUUAUAUAAAUUGAUUUUAUUUUGUUACAUUGGAAGUUGAAUAUUAGCACGAAUUAUAUAUUUAUAUACAUAAAAAUAAAUAGGGUUACAGCUCACGGAUUUGAGAGAGAGUAAGGAUUUUGUGGCAAAACAAUUAUCCCCACCUGUUGACUCAAUCUGCUGGCUUGUUCCCUCGGAGGAAUCCAUGAACCGAAAGUAAGUCCUCUAGGCUGCAACCAAUGUACUGUAUAUAUAUAUAUACUGGUACAGUUUCUAAGCAAAUUGUUUGGUUUCUUGCAGUAGGAUGAGGUAGUAAAGAGUAUAAUUUGCUUCAAAUAAUAGAAAGAAAAGCGUACAGUUUCUUUAGUAAUAGAGAAUGUUUAGGCCAAUUGUUUACAAAUUGUGGAGGAUUUUUGGUCUUUUUGCUUGCUUGGAUAAGCUAAAAUGUAUGCUUCUUACCUUUCCAGUUGCUUGCAUUGAUCACGAAGCAGAUUGGGAAAGUAAUUUACGGCUUUGUGCAGGAUGUAGAAUUUGCCAAGCAAAUCAAACUUUGCAUGGAAGAAAGAGAUUAAAUAGUUUCAUAAAAAGUCUAUUUUCAGAUAAACCUACACAUAGCAACAAGAGAUACAUUUAAAGAAAAAAACAUGUUACAACCUUAUUAUUAUUAUCAUACAAGUAGCUAGAACCACAUUGUCAAAUUAGAGGAAAAAUCUAGUCUCAAUAAUCGAAAGCAAUCCACACCCACACCGUACAAAUUCCAAGUUACGAUUGUUACAUUACAUUUAAACUUCGUAUGGAUAAUCCAACUAAAUAAUGAUUACAAAAAUAACAAGCAUUACAAGUAACAAAGUAUAUGGACCAUACUCUGCUUUCUACUCUUGGGGUUCGCCUGCAAUUGAAGUACUGGUUUUUAGGUAUCCUGACCAACAACAUUUCCGUCCCGACUUCUCUCAAGAAGUGAAAUUACUAUCACAGAAUUAAUGAUUCUAUGCAUUUCCAGUGGACAAUAUAGUUGCAUCCAGAUGUAACACAUUCGAGGGCCAAAUCUUCACUGGACUUACCACAUUUUAUGCAUUUAGGAUAAUAAUAAAUCUUCCUCACGAAAGUGAGAGAGUGUGGAUGAUCUCUUUCUUGGCAUGUACUCCCUAGUUUGAUAAAUGGGUAGCUUCCAAUAGCACAAUUGAUAUGAGUAGAGGUAUCACAAGUUGUGCAAUGAUAAAACCAAAGAUUUGGAUCUCUUCUUUCCUCACAAAUGUCACAAUAAUGACAUUCUGAAUAAUUGUUAUUAUCACCAUAAGUGAGUGCAAGAACAUGUUUAUCACAUUUCACAUUUGUGUCUAGAGGUAUGGGGUAGUAAAAUACAUAUAUCAUGUACAGCGAAGUUGCAAUCCUUACAACAGUAUCCAACUUCCAUGUCAUCAGCAAAAGCACAACACUUCCCUUCAUACUCGAUAUAGAAAUGGAGGGGGUGUUCAUGUCCUUGACAUGUUAGAGCAUCUGGAGUUAGAGUUUCACAUCAAAGGCAUACAUGAUUCCCACAUUCAUUACAUUUAUAGGCAAAGCCGUUAGACCGGCAUUUGCAUACUUCACAUUUAAAAAUGAAGUCUGAAGUAAGGAUGAGGAAACUUUGCUGGCAACGAUGAAACCAAACAUGCUUCAUCUUAGGUCAUUCAGCACAGGUUUUGUGAAGAAAGAAAUCACAUUCUGAACAAUAGUAAAAUGAGGCUGAGAUAGGUAACAUGCAACCAUCACAAGAUUUAUCAUACUUUGCAAUUUUCUCACUUAACAUCAAGUCGUGAACAUGCUUGAAAUGUUUUAUUUUUGUGGCUUCUCCAGCAUCAUUCCUCUCAAUAACACAAGUGAUGGAGUCUAUAGAUACACCAGGCAAUAGUGCCAAACUAUCAAUAGAUUUCCCAUCUUCAUUUUCUUGCGAAACUAUAUAGUACCAGCGUUCCUUCUUUAUUGCGCAAUUCACUUGGACAAUAAUUUUGCAGUUUGAACAAUAGUAACUGCCAUGCUCUGUAUUGACCUCAUGGUGACAAAUUAUACAAUCCCAACUCUUAAAAUCUUCAUCAUGAAGGAAAUAUGUGUGAAAAAUGCGAUGAUGAUGCCACCUGUGUUUGAUAAUUUGUGGCAAUGAAAUGCAUUUCUUAUGAACCUUAAUGUUGCAUGUACAACUUAUGUAGGCAGCACAAUUUCCUUCAGUACCACAUGCAUCACAACGAAAGGGUCAUGUAUCCAAAACUGGGUGAACGGGUGUUGAUGACUUUCAUCUUCAAUGAUGGGCGAGGGUGAUACACACUGGAUGCGAACAACAACCUUGCAAAGGCAAACAGCAAUAAACAAAUCCUCUUUGUUGGGUUUCUUGGCAUAUGUUGCAAGGAAGCCGUUCACUAUUAAAUUGUAAAACAAGAGGAUGUUUGCGGUGACACGUAUGAUUGAUUUUGAAAGGUAACUCAGCACAUUUCUUAUGUAGAUGAAAUCCACAAUCAAGAGAAAAGUAUGUAGAACUUAGUAACGGUUCCCAACACCCGAAACAAUUAAAACUUUCACGUUCUUCACCAUCAUUUUUGGUGGAAAUGAAUGGAUCUUCAACAGCAACAUGUUGAAGCUCUUCAGAAAAUUUUUCAGCAAUACUAAAGGUCAAUAAAGCACAUGUGAUAUGGAAGUCUAAUCCACAAGAGCAAUGAUAAAUGAAAGUCUUACAUAUCUCAUCACAAAAGUCGCAAAUGCAGCCCACUCCGUCAGCAUAAGGUGAAUGUUGCAGAAGGAGAGGAUGCUUGGGAUGAAGAGGGUGAUUGAUCUCCAGGGGUGCCUCAGCACAUUUCUUAUGGAGGUAAAACCCACACUCCACACAGCUAAAACUUGGAGCUGACAGUGACACCUCCUCCUCACACCUUGAGCAGUAAGCUUCUUCACUUUGAUUGCUCUGCCCUUCAUUCAACACCAGUGGAUGCUCAUGUCCAAAAUUUUCAGACUCGCUCAUCUCUCCUUUCUUUUAGAGCAACGUAUCAAUGCGAAGAAGAUCAAAAGUCGAGAAGAGUCUUUCAGGAUUUGGGAAUAGAGAGAUUUGAAAGGGAGGUUCUUGCGAGGAUUGAAGGAAUCAAGGUCAGCGCUCAUCUAUACUUCUUAGUAGUAUUUCUACAAUGAGUUUUUUUUUUUUUUAACCUGCUUUAAAUUUGAUGCAGUAUUUUCUGUGCGGUCGUCAUUUUUCUUGCUUAGCUAUAUUAUUUUUUUUCUAUUAAUAUAAUAAAAAUCGCAGUAGUGGUAGUAAUUAACGUUUCUUUGGCAGCCUUCGUUUUAAAAUUCUUAUCAAAUCUAAUCUAUAGUUGAUUCAUCAUGGGGAUGAUAUCACAGAACCCUUUGUUUAGUUGUCACUCAAAGCAGCAGAAACUAGAAUAUAGUCAAGUGUUCAUCCUGCUGGUUUAUUAUCAUUUCCUAGCUAACUUCGUUUUUCUGAUCUAGCAAGGAUUGCAGUGAAGACCCAUAUAAGUAUAGCAGGACUGAUCGGGUGCAGACGAAACUCUUGCUAAAAUUCUUUGCUUGCUUCUUCAAAAAGGUUUGGUGUCUAAAUACGUAUGGCUCCAACUCAAGACCACUGCAAGUUCUUUAUUUUAGGGUGGGUAAAGGAACUAGAAAAAGUCAACUUUGCCACUUUGCUUUUGGUAGCUUUGGAAAAGGUGUUGCCUUCCGAAGGAGUCAUGAAAAUCCAUGAGGUCAUCAUGCGUGAUAUCAAUAAGUAUAAAGAGAUGACGAGCUUAGAUCGGUGGAUAGAGAAGAGAGGCAGAUGUUGUUGAAGCAAAGCACCAUGGAAAUGCAUGUACCUCUAUCUACAAACAUUUUUGGUUCAUACUUCGGAUAGAAGCUUUAAUAGAAGCAUCAAAAUGGGUGCUUCAGCUAUUGCCUUUUAUAAACAGUAGGUUAGCAUCUUAAGUCAGUCAUCCAUAAGAAUCCUCAAACAAUUUUAGGAAUAUGACUAUAUGUUGCAAAAUGUCCUUUUGUGAGUCAAUCAAGAAAAUUGUUUCCCACAGCUGGACUCAGACCAAAAUAUAGCUAUUUUAGGAGUCAAAUUUUACUCAAAAGUCAUGAACAUACCUUGUUCCUUCGUACAGAGGAGCAUCCUUUAUCAACAUUUGUCUUACCACCAAAGAGCAGGGUUGCUUUAGGCUUUUGUACUACUAUGAACCAUCACUGACCAAGCCUCUACAACAGAUGGAGGAUAGAUGAGGACAGAUUGCGAAGUGAUUACUGUUUCUUAGGCAUCCGUUGUUGUUCAAGCUAAUGUGUACAAACAUUGAGAGAAGCUAAAUAUUAAAAAUUUCUCAAAAGCUGUUAUUCCAGUCAAAUCAUGGACAUUUCUGUACCAAAGAAGGAACGUACAAUCCAGUAAAAGAAUCAGAUAAUAUCCCUGAAACUCCGUACUAGGUAUGAAGAACCCAAUCUAGCUACAAGGGUGUAAAUAUACGUUUAUUAAUUACACGUUAUCUCUAGUGACAGGGUGCACUGUGAUUAUUGACAAUCUCUUCCACCAAAUGAAUAGGUGUGCAGCAUGUACCUUCUCAGCACCAGAAUCUUGACAUUUUUUCAAAAGAAAUUCAGGAAGGGCAAUUAAUUGAGUCAUCAGAAUCAUAUUCGGAAAAUAAAUCACAAUCUGACUCCAUUUCAGAACCAAGCCCAUUUCCACAAGCUUUAGAACAAUCUUUGAUGGGUCCUCAAGACCUACAUUGGCAGUUUGCUUGUAUAAGCCCCUGCUUCUAUCCAUAAAUCCUUUUCUCAUCAUGCUAGCAAAUCUUUCUCUAAUAUCAACAAGGGGAUGUCUCUGAAUAAGUCGUUGACAAUCAUAGGCUUCCCUAAGAACAACAGUUUGUGUAUCACACAUCUUGGAAAUAUAAACGAUGCCAGGAUGGCGCCCAAACACCUUAGUAAACUUCUGAGGCGGUGACAACAGUUUGUGUAGAUUACUCACAUUUUGACGUUUAGUUUUCUUCUCUAUCCUAAGGUGAAGAAGCUCAUGAAUUCUCUUCUCUGACACACCAGUACGUGGAUCCAAUAAAGUGAAGUAUAAGGUAGUUUCUGCCAUUCCUUUAACCACUCCACGCAUUUCCUCUUCAAUCCAAAACCACUUGUAAAUCCUAUUGGAAAGGCUAAACAGUUAUUUUUCAAAUCUUCCUCCAUUUGCAGAAAAGCAUUCUUCUCCAAUUGGGAAACAGCAAGUGUAUCAUCCCAUGAUAAAAGUUUCAAACCAAAGCGAUCAUCAGCAAGGUGAACAAAAGAAAAUAAAUCAGGGUAAGUUGGAAUGAAGGUUUUGCUGUAAUCAUAAGGAAAUCCCAAAUCCCAUUUCAGCUGGUCAAUAGUUUGUAAAGGAAGGGUCCUAUCCUUGGUAAGCUUCAGCAAUUUGCAGAGCCUGUGAAACAAAUCAAUCACACUCUCCUGGAUAACACCAACUUCUUCAUGGUAAAGAUUUAAGGCUUUAGCGCUCAAGGAACACGAGGGCCACCACUGUCAAGCACACAAGACUCAUGAAAAAUGGUGGGGCAUCUCCUCAUAAAUAUGGAUAGCUUAAGAUUAUGGGGCAGACCGAGUUGACCGAUAUGCCGGGUAAGAUGGUAAAUGGGGAGACAGCAAUUGGAAGCAGAGGAAAGGAUGGAAACAAGAUUGCAGGCUGCUCUUAAAUCUCUUUCACCAGCCAUAACGGCAUCUAAGGCUUUACCUUUAACCCAUUUCAACAUAACAUUAACUAGACUGAAAUUCUGCUGGUAAUUAAAUCCCAUCCUCAACCCACAUGAAAAUCUAGAAACUUUUGCUUUUCCACACAAAAACCAAUAACCCAUGUCCUUAUUUUAAUAGAAAAAUGAUUAUAAAUCAAUAAUAAGAUGCUCCCAAGUUCACCAAUAAAACAGCCUUAGCAACACCUACGAGACAAAGACAAGUACCCAGAUUAAGAUUUUUGGUAAUUCUGCAUAUACUGCUUUGUAAAGUAAAUAAACGAGAGAAAAAGGACAGGAAGGAAAAAUAGUUAAUUCCUGUAAGACAAUUUAUCAAACAUGUAAAGUGCAACUAUGCCGCGAUAUGAAAUCUGCUUACCUUAAUGAGGCUGAGCUGAAACACCUCAACGAUUAAAACUUGGAUGUCCUUUUAGAGGUUUUAAGUUUGAAUCUUGAGAAGAGACUGAGAAGCGUGAGAUUAUAAUCAUUACAAAAAAAAAAAAUUGAAAGCAAAAUAUUUUAAAAAGUCGUGCGAAAUUUUCAAUUUGAAAGUAAAUUUGUCUCUGUGCAGCAAAAGCACUUUUAUUUUCAGGCAUUAACCAAGUACAGUAAGGAUUUAUAACAAUUUGAGUGCAUGAAUGGCAGGAGCAAGAAUGUUUUUGGAAGCAUAUUCAGAUGCUUGCAUUGAACAGUAAACAGAAUGGGAGUGUAAUUUACCAAAUAUAGGUACAAAAACUAGUUUAAUUAGAAAAAUUGGUAAUUGAGACCGAAAUUUUACUUUCCUGGAAAAAAAAUAGCAUGCCUAAAUAAUCAUAUGUUUUGUAUUUACAUAUAUGAUUUGAGUUUUAUGUAAUUUUAUCAAUAUAAUAGAGUUAGAUUAAACUCUUUCAUAAGUUUAAACUAUCACUUCUUUAUUUUUUAUUUUUCUGUUUUAUCAUUUAAGAAAAGUUAAAAUUCGAACUUAUUUUUCUUCAAAAAGAAUUGAACUUAUUUAUGAAAUUAUGAUAAAAAUUUUCAAAUUUGACCUGAAAACUUUUACGUGUAAUGAAGUAAAAUAAAAAUUUAAUCUUCAGUUUCCAAGUUCAAAUUUUAUGAUUCACAUAAGAAAAUUAGCAACAAAAAGUGUUAAUGGAAGAAUCAGAUAGAAAUAAUUUCAUAAAAAGUCAACAAGUGAUACAUUUAAACAAUACAACAUAUACCCACUUUAUUGUCAUUACAACCACAAUGUCAAAUUAAAAGGAAUUUCUAAGUGAAUAAUCAAAAGCAAUCCAAGCCUCACACAUUCUAAGUUCAGAUGCCUACAUUACAUUUAAACUUAUAAUUGAAAAAUAAGUUACAAUUACAAAAAUAACAAGCAUUACAAGUAACAAAGUAUAGACCAGACUCUGGUUAUGCUUUCUUGCAAAUGAAGUGGAAGUUUUCAAGUAUUUUGACCAAUAAGACCUCCAUCUAGAUUUUUCUCGAGAUGUGAAAUUACCACCAUAAAUGUUUUGAUACUAUACAUCUCCAGUGGACAAUAUAGUUGCAUCCAGAAGUAACACAUUCGAGAGCCAAAUUUUGACAAGGCUUACCACAUUUAAUGCACUUAGGGUAGUAAUAAAUCUUUUUCACAAAGAUGAGAGGGUGUGGAUGAUCUCCUUCUUUGUAGAUACUCCCCAAUUUGAUAUAUCGAAGGUCUUCAAGAACACAAUCCUUAUGAGCAGAAGUAUCACAAGUUGCACAAUGAUAAAACCAAUUAUUUGAAUCUCUUCUUUCCUCACAAAUGUCACAAAAACGACAUUCUGAAUAAUCAUUAUCAUCUUUAUAAGUGAGUGUAAGAACAUGUUCAUCGCAUUUGUGUCGAGUUGUAAGUGGUAGUCUAACACAUCUCGUACAUAAAGCAAAAUUGCAACCCUUACAACAGUAUCCUCGAUACAUGUCAUCACCACAAGUAGAACACGCCACUUCACACUCGACAUAAAAAAGAAGGGGGUGUUCAUGUCCUUGACAUGUUAGAGUAUCAGGAGUUAGAGUUACACAUCGAAGGCAUAGAUGACCGUCACAUUCAUUACAUUUAUAGGCAAAGGCAUUAGAUAGGUGAUAACAUGAGUGACAUCUAAAAAGGUGGCCUGAAGUAAGGAUGAGGGAACUUUUCUGGCAAUAAUCAAGCCAAACAGGCUUCAUCAUCUUAGGUAAUUCAGCACAGGCUUUAUGAAGAAAGAAAUCACAUUCUGAACAAUAGUAAAAGGAAGCUGAGAUAGGUAACAUGCACCCCUCACAACAUUUAUCAUACCUCGCAAUUUUCUCACCUAACAUCAAGUCAUGCAUAUGCUUGAAAUGUUUUAUUUUUGUGGCUUCUCCAGCAUCAUUCUUCUCAAUAAUACAAUAGAUGGAGUCAAUAGAUUCACCAGGCAAAAGUGCCAAACUAUCGAUAGAUUUCUCAUCUUCAUUCUCAGGUGAAACUAUAUAAUACCAGCUUUUAUUUUUUGUCACGCAAUUCACAUGGGCAAUAAUUUUGCAAUCUGAACAAUAGUAACUGCCGUGCUCCGCAUUGACCUCAUCGUGACAAAUUACGCAAUCCCUAUUCUUAAGAUCUUCAUCAAGGAAAUAUGUGUGAAAAAUGGGAUGGUGAUGCCACCUGCUUUUGAUGAUGCGUGGCAAUGAAGUGCAUUGCUUAUGAACCAUAAUAUUGCAUGUAGUACAUAUGUAGGCAACAUGAUUUCCUUCAGUGCCACAGGCAUCACAAAUGAAAGGAGCUCGUCUCCAAAACAAGGUGAAUGGGUGUUGAUGAAUUUUAUCAGGCGAUGUUGGUACACAAUCAAUGUGAACAGCAACCUCGCAAGGCAAGCAACAAUAAACAAAUCCUCUUUCUUGGGUUUCUUGGCAUAUGUUGCAAGAAAACCUUUCAAUAUUGAAUUGGAGACCAAGAGGAUGUUUGCGGUGACACAUAUGAUUGAUUUUGAGAGGUAAUUCAGCACAUUUUUUAUGGAGAUGGAAUCCACAAUCAAGAGAAAAGUAGGUAGAACUUAGCAACGGUUUGCAACACCAGAAACACUGAAAACUUUCAAGUUCUUCACCAUCGUUGUCGGUGGAAAUCAAUGGAUCUUCAAGAGCAACAUGUUGAAGCUCUUCAACAUUUUUUUGAGCAAUAUUAUAUGUAAAUAAAGCACACGCGAUAUGAAAGUAUAAUUUGCAAGAGCAAUGAUAAAUGGAACCCUUACAUAUCUUAUCACAAAAAUCGCAAAUGCAGAAUAAUGCUUGAGCAUAAGGUGAACUUUGCAGGAGGAGGAGAGGAUGCUUAGGAUGAAAAGGGUGAUUGAUCUCCAGGGGUGCCUCAGCACAUCUCUUAUGGAGGUAAAACCCACACUCCACACAGCUAAAACUUGGAGCUGACAGUGUCACCUCCUCCUCACACCUUGAGCAGUAAGCUUCUUCACUGGGCGUGCUCUGCCCUUCAUUCAACACCAGGGGAUGCUCAUGUCCAAAAUUUUCAGACUCACUCAUCUCUCCUUUCUUUUUGUGUCUGCCCCUGAUUUGGAGGUUAAGAGAAAGGUUUCAACGCAAAAGAGAUUAAAAGCCAAGAAGGGUGCUUCCGGAUUUGGGAAAUUGGGAGAGAUUUGAGAGGGAGGUUCUUGGGAGGAUGGAAAGAAUCAAGGUCAACGCUCAUAUUUACUUGUUAGUAGCAAUUCUGCAACGAGUCUUUUAUUAUUAUUAUUAUUAUUAUUGUUAAAUUGGAUGCAUUAUUUGUCUGUGCGGUCGUCAUUCUACUUGCUUGGCUAUGUUAUAUCGUAUAUAAUAAAUAUGACACUAGUGGUAGUAAUUAACGUAUCUUUGGCAUCCUUUCAAUAUUUUAAAAUUCUUACAAAAUCUAAUCUAUAUCUAUAUAUAUAUAUAUAAUGAAUCUUGUCACAUAACCGUUGGUUUGGUUGUCAAUAAAAGCAGCAAAAAUGGGCUUCAUAAUUUACUCAUUUUGAUAGGCAACUCUACAUUAUACGGUAGGGAAUAUUUGAAACUAUUUUAAAAACCAUUACGCUAAAUGAAUUGAAUUGUCUACUGUUCCUCCUGGUUUAUAAUUAUCAUUUCCUUUUCCUUGAUUCCAAAAUAUAAAAAUAAAAAAUUAUAUUAAUAUUUUAAUGAUAAAAUUAUUAAUAAUUUAANAAAAUAUUAUAAAAAUAAAAAUUAUAUAAUAUUUUAAUGAUAAAAUUAUUAAUAAUUUAAUACUAAAUAUAUUUUUAAUAUUUUGAAAAGAAGAAGAAAUUGUAAAAGAAAAAUAAGAAAAGGAAAAUUAACACAAAAUAUCAUAUUAAUAUUUUAAUACUAUGUAAUAAGCAUUUUAUUAAAAAGAAAUUAAAAGAGAAAAAGGGGAAAAUGAAAAUAUAAAAAAAAUCAUAUUCAUAAUUUAAUAAUAAAUUAUUAAUAUAAUUUUAAUUAAAAAUAAAAUUAGAAGAAAAAAAUUGGAAAAUGAAAAUAGAGAAAUAAUACAAUAAUAAAAUAAAUAUCAUAUUAAUAUAUUUAAUAACAAAUUAUUAUUUACUAAUAGCAAUCCCAAAAACCAAUGAAUUUCAAAAAGCUCAAAAUUUUUAUUUAAAUUAUAAUAAAAGACUUCAUUUUAUCACUUAUUCUUUUAUGAUUGUAAAAUUAUUUUUAUCAAUCAAACACUGAAAUAAUGUCAAAAUUAAAAUUUCAUUUUAUUAAUCAAACUAUAUGAAUCUCUAUUUUAUUCUAUUAUAUCUUAUUCUACUCUAUAUAAUAAUUAUUUUAUGUUUCCUCUAUUUAAUUCCGAUACUCAAUUUUGCCACUUAUCUUUCCGUAGCUUUGGAAAAGGUGUUGCCUUUUAAAGGACUGAGAUCAAAGAAAAAUAAAGAAAUGAAGAGCUCAGAAUGGUGGAUAGAGAAGAAAGGCAUAUGUUGUCGUUGAAGCAAGCAGCAUGGAAAUGUAUCCGUGAACGUUACAGCCAUAUCUAGCCCAAAAGAGAAAAUGUCAGUUAUGUCCUCUACUCCAUCUAUUCUCCUAAGAUUACAAAGUAACAAACAGACACGUGUGAAACUGCUGUCUCAUUUGAUUUCAUGAUUUAUAAGCUCUGCUCUGCUCUGUUCUGUGCUUAACAGAGUUUCUAACAGCAGAUUUUGAUGGACCAAUCAUAUUCUCAUUGACUCCUCUGAACCCUUCCCGAUUACUCUGUCUUUCUCUCCUUUCAUGGCGAUCGCUGCUGCUUCUUCCUUCUCCGUCGGUAAUCACACUCAACCAGCAUAAUAUGUUUACGAUAAUAUGUUUUUUAUGUUUAAAUUGAUUAAUAAUAGCAAUCGAAAAAGCAGGAUAGAGAUUACGUUUUGUUAAUUGAUUAAGUAUCCAUUUCGAUUUCCAUGUUUUAAGGCAAAUACUUUUCCCUUCUUUUUUAUAGUUAAGUUGUUUUAGUCGAUCUGAAGUUGUGUAAUUAGUUUCCUGCUUGUUUGCUGAUGAUGAAGCAACUACUUCAUUUUACUACUAACUUUUCCCUAAACUUUUUUUUCUCUUGUUUAUUCCCAUAAUUUUAAAAUGAUAAGAAAAACUUGAAAUUGGGUAUUCCAGUAAUGUCAAAUUUUAUGUGUGUUUAAGAAGAAAGUAUUUUUUAACUGUUGAAUGAAGAAAAUAACUUUGAAAACCCUCACUGCGAAAAUUUUAUGAGAUUCAUAUAUCCUUUUUAUGGCUAUCAUUAGAAUACUGACAUGCAAGUGGGUAAGCUCAUGUUUUGGUUUCAGUUGAUUUUCAUUUAUUUAGUUGCUAAGAAUUUUUUUUAUAUUAUUUAUAAAUUUAUGAAAUGGGAUUAGUAGAGCCAUUGGCCUUAUCAAAUAGUUAAAACAGUAUAAAUUUCAUUUCACCAAGAAGUGAACCUUUCACAAAGUAAUUGGUACCUGGUCUUGGGUUCUAUAGUUGAUUUCCGGAUGCAUGUGGUUUUUACUUCUAAUAUGAGGUUUAGUACUUAUUUUUUUCCUUCAUACUGGAUGUGCAUAAAAUUCUAAGGAAUGCACAUUUGGUGAAUAUUUGUUUCUACAUUUUACUAUUCUAUUUAAGUAUGAUGUUUGCAUUUGCAUUUUCAUGACAUUUUUUUUAACCCCUUUCUUAUUGCACGGAGCUAUCAGGUCCUUCCCAGUGUCAUUUAUGUUAAGUGGAAGGGGUUUAUUACUCACCAUUACAUGGGGUUAACAGCAGUUGGGUCAAAACUACAGUUGAUGGCUGCAGAGCUAGCGACCUGUCUGGCAUGAGGUGCAAAAAUAGUUAUUUGUUUAAGGUUAUAUGGGAAAGAGAAAACCAUUUCUCGAUUGUGUAAAAUUGAUCUGGUUUUCUUUAUGGAUUUGUUUAUGAUUUUGAUAGCAGUAUUUGUCCAUUUCUUUGGGAAGCCAUAUAUUUUUGAAAGCUUAGAUUUUAUUGAACAUGCAUCUUGAUUGUUGAGUUAUAAGCAUAAGUUACAUAAUAUUUGAUAUUUUGGCUAACUGCAUUUGUUGUGUUAUGAUUGUUUAUCCUGAGAGUUUUUGGUAUUGUUGUAGUGUUGUCAGGUGAGAGUCAAGUCUGUGUUGUGAAUAUCAUUCUUUUUAGCUUAUUGUACAAAUUGGUGACCAGCAACUAUUUCUUUGCCCACCUGAGUAGGAAAGCAAUAAUAUUGUUAAAAUAUGUCUUGUGGAUCCUUUAAUUUGUUAAACUAUGGGUUUUUGUAUUAGCUUGGCUAAUGCAAUGAUGAUGUUGCGGGUAACACCGUAACACUUCCAUUGUUGCUGGAAGUUCUUGUUUGUUUUUGGUCAAGGGGAAAAACAUGUUCUAUGGUUCAAUUGCCUCCACUUCAAUGUUGUUUGAGUUCAAGGCAAUUCUACACCCAAAUAUGUUAACUUACUCAUGUCUGGUUGUGUAAUAUUAUAAGGUUUAGUUAAUAUAGGACAUUUAUAUGGAAUGAAUGUAGUGUGGAUUGUUUGGGAGAUGACCAUGGGUACAUUCAGUGUCAAAAAAAAAAAGAGGUAACAUGUGAAGCAUGGUCCUAUUUAGCAUCCAUCAACAAUUGACUCUAGUGCUUUCUAGGUCCCUUUUUAACUUUUGCACAAAUAAGUUGAUUAUUUAUAUACAAAUUAGACUACAUUUUACCAUCCGAUCUUCUUAGCUGUUUUGGAUUUUUUGCGACUUUUUCAUAUGAAACUUAGUUUUUUUUUAGAUCCUUGGUUAAGAAGCAAUUUUUCAUUUCAUAUUCAGAUGCAGGAGUCCAUUUUUUGAAUCAACAUAAUUUUAUUGGUGUUUAAAUGUAUAAACGUAUAAGUAUAUUAUCGUGUUUAAUCAUAUUAUGGUGUUUAAACAUGUAUACAUGACACGUUUAUCAAUUUGUUAAAAAUUAAUAAUCAAAAACCAUUUUAACCUUACUUAAAUAAUUUUGAACAAUUAUUUUAAUAAAAAUUUUAAAUUUUAUAAAGAUAACAAUGUAAUUAUGCCAUGUCUAACUUUAAUUUUAAAUUUUAUUUUAUUAUAUUUGAUGUUAUUAUCAUUUUUUUGUUAUAAUUUUUUUAUAAUUAUUGAUUUUAAAUUACAAUAAUAAAAUUAUAUUUAAUUAUAAAUAUUUUUAUUUAAUCGUGUUAAAUGUGUUACUAAUCGUAUUGUGUCAUAUAUUGAUAUAUUUAACAAAUGUGUUAAUUAUGUUUUAUCGUGUUAUACGAUUAUUAAAUAUAUAUGUAUACAUAUUUCAAAUUUAAAAUAUAAAUAGUAUUCAUAUUAUUUUCAUAUUUAAUUUUAAUAUAUUUUAUAUUUAAUCGUGUAUAAUUUAAGACACAAAAAUAUGAAUUGGUAGAUCUAACUACUCAAAAUUACUGCAAGUUAUUUAUUUUAAGGUGGGUAAAGGAAGGAAAAAAGUCAACCUUAACACUUUGCUUUUGGUAGCUUUGGAAAUGGUUCUGCUUUCUAAAGGAGACAUGAAAAUCUAUGAGGUCAUCAUGAGUGAGAUCAAGAAGAAUUAAGAGAUGCAGAGCUUAGACUGGUGGAUAAAGAAGGGGGCAGAUAUCGUUGAAGCAAAGAACCAUGGAAAUGCAAGUACUUCUAUCUACAACAUUUUUUGUUCUUACUUCGGACAGAUGCUUUAAUAGAAGCAUCAAAAUGGGUGCUUCAGCUAUUGCCUUUUAUUAAUGGUAGGUUAACAUCUUAAGUCAGUCAUCUAUAAGAAUCAUCAAACAAUUAUAGGAAUAUGACUAUAUGUAGCAAAAUGUCCUUUUACGAGUCAAUCAAGAAAAUUGUUUCCUACAAGCUGGACUCAGACAAAAAGAUAGCUAUUUUAAGAGUCAAAUUUUACUCAAAAGUCGUGAACAUACCUUGUUCCUCCGUACAGAGGAGCAUCCUUUAUCAACAUUUGUCUUACCACCAAAGAGCAGGGUUGCUUUGGGCUUUUGUACUACAACGAACCAUCACUGACCAAGCCUCUACAGCAGAUGGAGGAUAGAUGAGGACAGAUUGCGAAGUGAUUCCUGUUUCUCAGGCAUCCUUUGUUGUUCAAGCUAAUGUGUAUAAACAUUGAGAGAAGCUAAAUAUUAAAAAUUUCUCAAAAGUGGUUAUUCCAGUCAAAUCAUGGACAUUUCUAUACCAAAGAAGGAAUGUACAAUUCAGUAAAAGAAUCAGAUAAUAUCCCUGAAACUCCCUACUAGGCGUGCAGAACCCAAUCUAGCUACGAGGGUGUAAAUAUAUGUUUAUUGACAGGGUGCACUGUGAUUAUUGACGAUGUCAUCCACCAAAUGAAUUGGAAAGUUGACAACUUAUUCGCAGCAUGUACCUUCUCAAUACCAGAAUCUUAACAUUUUUUCAAAAGAAAUUCAGGAAGGGCAAUUAAUUGAGUCAUCAGAACCAUAUUCAGAAAAUAAAUCACAAUCUGACUCCACUUCAGAAUCAAGACCAUUUCCACAAGCUUUAUCACCAAGAACAAUCUUUGAUGGGUCCUCAAGACCUACAUUGGCAGUUUUCUUGUAUAAGCCCCUGCUCCUAUCCAUAAAUCCUUUUCUCAUCAUGCUUGCAAAUCUUUCUCUAAUAUCAACAAGGGGAUGUCUGUGAAUAAGUCGUUGACAAUCAUAGGCUUCCCUAAGAACAACAGUUUGUGUAUCACACAUCUUGGAAAUAUAAAAGAUGUCAGGAUGGCGCUCAAACACCUUGGUAAACUUCUGAGGCAGUGACAAUGGUUUAAGUAGAUUACUCACAUUUUGGCGUUCAGUUUUUUUCUCUAUCGUAAGGUGAAGAAACUCAUGAAACACGCCCACGAUUCUCUUCUCUGACACAUCAGUACGUGGAUCCAAGUGAGAGGCAUCAGCAUAAAGUGGAGUAUAAGGUGGUUUCUGCCAUUCUUUUAACCACUCCACGCAUUUCCUCUUCAAUCCAAAACCCCUUGUAAAUCCUAUUGGAAAGGCUAAACAGUUAUUUUUCAAAUCUUCCUCCAUUUGCAGAAAAGCAUUCUUCUCUAAUUGGGAGACAGCAAGUGUAUCAUUCCAUGAUAAAAGUUCCAAACCAAUGCAAUCAUCAGCAAGGUGAACAAAAGAAAAUAAAUCAGGGUAAUGUGCAAUGAAGGUUUUGCUGUAAUCAUAAUUUCAUAAAAAGUCAACAAGUGAUACAUUUAAACCACACAACAUAUACCAACUUUAUUGUCAUUACAACCACACUGUCAAAUUAAAGGGAAUUUCUAGAGUGAAUAAUCAAAAGCAAUCCAAGCCUCACACAUUCUAAGUGCAGAUGCCUACAUUACAUUUAAACUUAUAAUUGAAAAAUAAGUUACAAUUACAAAAUAACAAGCAUUACAAGUAACAAAGUAUGGACCAUACUCUGCUUAUGCUUUCCUGCAAAUGAAGUGGAAGUUUUCAAGUAUUUUGCUCAAUAAUACCUCCAUCUAAAUUUUUCUCGAGAUGUGAAAUUACCAUCAUAAAUUAUUUGGUGCUAUACAUCUCCAGUGAACAAUAUAGUUGCAUCCAGAAGUAACACAUUCGAGAGCCAAAUCUUGACAAGGCUUACCACAUUCAAUGCACUUAGGGUAGUAAUAAAUCUUCUUCACGAAGAUGAGAGGGUGAGGAUGAUCUCCUUCUUUGUAGAUACUCCCAAGUUUGAUAUAUGGAUAGUGUCCAAGAACACAACUCCUAUGAGCAGAAGUUUCACAAGUUGCACAAUGAAAAAACCAAUAAUUUAGAUCUAUUCCCUCUUCACAAACGUCACAAUAAUGACAUUCUGAAUAAUCAUUAUCAUCACUAUAAGUGAGUGCAAGAACAUGUUCAUCAAAUUUGUGUCGAGCUAUAGUUGGUAUUGCAACACAUGAAAGAUGCAAAGCAAAAUUGCAAUCCUUACAACCGUAUGCUGCUCUUAUAUCACCACCACAAGCACAACACUUCCCUUCAUACUCGAUAUAAAAAAGGAGGGGGUGUUUAUGUCCUUGACAUGUUAGAGUAUCAGGAGUUAGAGUUACACAUAGAAGGCAUACACGAUCGUCACAUUCAUUACAUUUAUAGGCAAAGCCAUUCGAUAUGUGCUGACAUAAGCGACAUCUAAAAAUGUAGUCUGAAGUGAGGAUGAGGACACUUUGCUGGCAGUCAUGAAACCAAACAUGCUUCAUCGUAGGUAAUUCAGCACAGGCUUGAUGAAGAAAGAAACCACAUUCUAAACAAUAGUAAAAGGAAGCUGAGAUAAGUAACAUGCACCCCUCACAAUACUUAUCAUACUCUACAAUUUGCUCACUUAACAUCAACUCAUGCAUGUGCUUGAAAUGUUUUAUUUUUGUGGCUUCUCCAGCAUCAUUCCUCUCAAUAACACAAGUGAUGGAGUCAAUAGAUUCACCAGGCAAAAGUGCCAAACUAUCGAUAGAUUUCUCAUCUUCAUUUUCAGGUGAAACUAUAUAAUACCAGGUUUCAUUUUUUGUCACACAAUUCACAUGGGCAAUAAUUUUGCAAUCUGAACAAUAGUAACUGCCGUGCUCUGCAUUGACCUCAUCGUGACAAAUUAUGCAAUCCCAAUACUUCAAAUCUUCUUCAUGAAGAAAAUAUUUGUGAAAAAUGAGAUGGUGAUGCCACCUGCUUUUGAUGAUGUGUGGCAAUGAAAUGCAUUUCUUAUGAACUAUAAUGUUGCAUGUAGUACAUAUGUAGGCAGCACAAUUUCCUUCGGUACCACAUGCACUACAAAUGAAAGGGAAUUGUAUCCAAAACAGGGUGAAUGGGUGUUGAUGACUGUUAUCUUCAACGAUGGGCAGGGGUGGGGUUGAUACACACUCAAUGUGAACAGCAACCUUGCAAGGCAAACAACAGUAAACAUAUCCUCUUUUUUGGGUUUCUUGGCAUAUGUUGCAAGAAAACCGUUGACUAUUAAAUUGUAGAACAAGAGGAUGUUUGUGGUGGCACAUAUGAUUGAUUUUGAGAGGUAAUUCAGCACAUUUUUUAUGGAGAUGGAAUCCACAAUCAAGAGAAAAGUAGGUAGAACUUAGCAACGGUUUCCAACACACGAAACACUGAAAACUUUCAAGUUCUUCACCAUCAUUUCCGGUGGAAAUCAAUGGAUCUUCAAGAGCAACAUGUUGAAGCUCUUCAAAAAAUUUUUGAGCAAUGUUAUAUGUAAAUAAAGCACAUGUGAUAUGAAAGUCCAAUCCACAAGAGCAAUGAUAAAUGGAAGCCUUACAUGUCUUAUCACAAAUAUUGCAAAUGCAGUCUCCAUUAACAUAAGGUGAAUUUUGCAGAAGGAGGAGAGGAUGCUUGGGAUGAAAAGGGUGAUUGAUCUCCGAGGGUGCCUCAACACAUUUCUUAUGGAGGUGAAACCCACACUCCACACAGCCAAAACUUGGAGCUGACAGUGACACCUCCUCCCCACACCUUGAGCAGCAAGCUUCUUCACUUUGAUUGCUCUGCUUUUCAUUAAACACCAGUGGAUGUUGGUGCCCAAAAUUUUCAGACUCACUCAUCUCUCUUUCCGAUUCGCACCUCUACCACAAUAGGUUUCAAAAGGAAAGGGGAACUUUGGCUAUAACAAAGAAAGAUGUAGUAAGGCCAAUGCUUAUAAAAUAACUAGAGUGUAGUAUUUCUAAUGGUAAUGCCUUAUUCCUUGCGUGCCGCCACAUUCAAAAUGGAAAAAAGAAGAAAGAAUCCCACAAAGGCAGAGACCUAACCAAACCAGGAAACAAGGUAGAUGCUUUGAUGGCAGGCAUAGCAAAAUAUAACAACAUAUAAAAGUAAAAAGCAAGUAUAAGGAUUGCAUGCUCUAUUCAAGUUUGAAACUUUUACUUUGUAAGUUUAAAGUUAGAGCAUCCCUUAGGAUACAAUGCAAGCUACUGAGGUCAAUGUUAUGACAAUUCUGGGCUCUGGCAGCAAUGAAGUUGUCUAAAUUUAAAAUCCUUCUAAUAUAUCUAAUGAAACAUGUAUGUAGAAUAAAAUAUAAAUAAGACCUUCAAUUAUUAAUUUAUUACAAUAUUUAUGGACCUUGACGUGUAUAAUUUAUUUUAUAUGAACUAAAAGAUUUGGUUUUAAGAAGAACAUAAUAUUAUGAAUACUUUUAUAAUAACCAAAAUAAAUAAAUAAAACAUUAUUAAUUUAAAUUCAAAAAAUCAAGAAAUAUAAUAAAGCACUAUUAUAUAGUCAGGCUCAAGGGAAGAAUUCUUAUAUAAGCCCAAGAACAAUCUUUGAUGGGACCUCAAGACCUACAUUGGCAGUUUUCUUGUAUAAGCCCCUGCUCCUAUCCAUAAAUCCUUUUCUCAUCAUGCUUGCAAAUCUUUCUCUAAUAUCAACAAGGGGAUGUCUGUGAAUAAGUCGUUGACAAUCAUAGGCUUCCCUAAGAACAACAGUUUGUGUAUCACACAUCUUGGAAAUAUAAAAGAUGCCAGGAUGGCGCUCAAACACCUUGGUAAACUUCUGCGGCAGUGACAAUGGUUUGAGUAGAUUACUCACAUUUUGGCGUUCAGUUUUUUUCUCUAUCGUAAGGUGAAGAAGUUCAUGAAACACGCCCACGAUUCUCUUCUCUGACACAUCAGUACGUGGAUCCAAGUGAGAGGCAUCAGCAUAAAGUGAAGUAUAAGGUGGUUUCUGCCAUUCUUUUAACCACUCCACGCAUUUCCUCUUCAAUCCAAAACCCCUUGUAAAUCCUAUUGGAAAUGCUAAACAGUUAUUUUUCAAAUCUUCCUCCAUUUGCAGAAAAGCAUUCUUCUCUAAUUGGGAGACAGCAAGUGUAUCAUUCCAUGAUAAAAGUUCCAAACCAAUGCAAUCAUCAGCAAGGUGAACAAAAGAAAAUAAAUCAGGGUAAUGUGCAAUGAAGGUUUUGCUGUAAUCAUAAUUUCAUAAAAAGUCAACAAGUGAUACAUUUAAACCACACAACAUAUACCAACUUUGUUGUCAUUACAACCACACUGUCAAAUUAAAGGGAAUUUCUAGAGUGAAUAAUCAAAAGCAAUCCAAGCCUCACACAUUCUAAGUUCAGAUGCCUACAUUACAUUUAAACUUAUAAUUGAAAAAUAAGUUACAAUUACAAAAAUAACAAGCAUUACAAGUAACAAAGUAUGGACCAUACUCUGCUUAUGCUUUCCUGCAAAUGAAGUGGAAGUUUUCAAGUAUUUUGCUCAAUAAUACCUCCAUCUAAAUUUUUCUCGAGAUGUGAAAUUACCAUCAUAAAUUAUUUGGUGCUAUACAUCUCCAGUGGACAAUAUAGUUGCAUCCAGAAGUAACACAUUCGAGAGCCAAAUCUUGACAAGGCUUACCACAUUCAAUGCACUUAGGGUAGUAAUAAAUCUUCUUCACGAAGAUGAGAGGGUGAGGAUGAUCUCCUUCUUUGUAGAUACUCCCAAGUUUGAUAUAUGGAUAGUGUCCAAGAACACAACUCCUAUGAGCAGAAGUUUCACAAGUUGCACAAUGAUAAAACCAAUAAUUUAGAUCUAUUCCUUUUUUACAAACGUCACAAUAAUGAUAUUCUAAAUAAUCAUUAUCAUCACUGUAAGUGAGUGCAAGAACUUGUUCGUCAAAUUUGUGUCAAGCGAUAGUUGGUAUUGCAACACAUGAAAGAUGCAAAGCAAAAUUGCAAUCCUUACAACCGUAUGCUGCUCUUAUAUCACCACCACAAGCACAACACUUCCCUUCAUACUCGAUAUAAAAAAGGAGGGGGUGUUUAUGUCCUUGACAUGUUAGAGUAUCAGGAGUUAAGAGUUACACAUCGAAGGCAUGCACGAUCGUCACAUUCAUUACAUUUAUAAGCAAAGCCAUUCGAUAUGUGCUGACAUAAGCAACAUCUAAAAAUGUAGUCUGAAGUGAGGAUGAGGACACUUUGCUGGCAAUCAUGAAACCAAACAUGCUUCAUCUUAGGUAAUUCAGCACAGGCAUUAUGAAGAAAGAAAUCACAUUCUAAACAGUAGUAAAAGGAAGCUAAGAUAGGUAACAUGCACCCCUCGCAAUACUUAUCAUACUCUGCAAUUUUCUCACUUAACAUCAACUCAUGCAUAUGCUUGAAAUGUUUUCUUUUUGUGGCUUCUCCAGCAUCAUUCUUCUCAAUAACACAAGUGAUGGAGUCAAUGGAUUCACCAGGCAAAAGUGCCAAACUAUCCUAGAUUUCUCGUCUUCAUUUUCGGGUGAAACUAUAUAAUACCAGCUUUCAACUUUUGUCACGCAAUUCACAUGGGCAAUAAUUUUGCAAUCUAAACAAUAGUAAUUGCCGUGCUCUGCAUUGACCUCAUCGUGACAAAUUGUGCAAUCCCCAUUCUUAAAAUCUUCAUCAUGAAGGAAAUAUGUGUGAAAAAUGUGAUGGUGAUGCCACCUGCUUUUGAUGAUGCGUGGCAAUGAAAUGCAUUUUUUAUGCACUAUAAUAUUGCAUGUAGUACAUAUGUAGGCAACAUAAUUUCCUUCAGUGCCACAUGCAUUACAAAUGAAAGGAGCUUGUCUCCAAAACAAGGUGAAUGGGUGUUGAUGACUUUUAUCUUCAACGAUGGGCAGGGGUGACAUACACUCAAUGUGAAAAGCAACUUUGCAAGGAAAACAAUAAUAAACAAAUCCUCCUUGUUGGGUUUCUUGGCAUAUGUUGCAAGAAAACCUAUCACUAUUGAAUUGUAGCACAAGAGGAUGUUUGCGGUGACACAUAUGAUUGAUUUUGACAGGUAAUUCAACACAUUUUUUAUGGAGAUGGAAUCCACAAUCAAGAGAAAAGUAUGUAGAACUUAGCAACGGUUUCCAACACCCGAAACACUGAAAACUUUCAAGUUCUUCACCAUCAUUUCCGGUGGAAAUCAAUGGAUCUUCAAGAGCAAACAUGUUGAAGCUCUUCAAAAAUUUUUCGAGCAAUGUUAUAUGUAAAUAAAGCACAUGUGAUAUGAAAGUCUAAUCCACAAGAGCAAUGAUAAACGAAGGCCUUACAUGUCUUAUUACAAAAAUCGCAAAUGCAGCGUACUCCUUGAGCAUAAGGUGACUUUUGCAGGAGGAGAAGCGGAUGGUUGCGAUGAAAAGGGUGAUUCAUCUCUGAGGAUGCCUCAGCACAUUCUUAUGGAGGUGAAACCCACACUCCACACAGCUAAAACUUGGAGCUGACAGUGACACCUCCUCCCCACACGUUGAGCAGUAAGCUUCUUCACUUUGAUUGCUCUGCUUUUCAAUAAACACCAGUGGAUGUUGGUGCCCAAAAUUUUCAGACUCACUCAUCUCUCUUUCCGAUUCGCACCUAUACCACAAUAGGUUCCAAAAGGAAAGGGGAACUUUGGCUAUA
rnacentral:lncRNA from 1 species